GACCCAGUGGCGAGAGGAAUCGCACCGGCGCAGCGUGCCUUGGUCGUCAGAAGAUUUCAAGCCGGAGAUGCUCCUGGUUCGAAUCCAGGCUGGUCA